rnacentral:rRNA from 1 species
UCGCACCUACGGGGGGCAGCAGUGAGGAAUAUUGGUCAAUGGGCGGGAGCCUGAACCAGCCACGCCGCGUGAGGGAAGAAGGUACAGCGUAUCGUAAACCUCUUUUGUCAGGGAACAAAGGCGGGGACUAGUCCCCGGAUGAGGGUACCUGAAGAAAAAGCAUCGGCUAACUCCGUGCCAGCAGCCGCGGUAAUACGGAGGAUGCGAGCGUUAUCCGGAUUCAUUGGGUUUAAAGGGUGCGCAGGCAGCCUGUUAAGUCAGCGGUAAAAGCCCGGGGCUUAACCCCGGCGAGCC